CAAAAGCUUUUAACUUAAUUCUGUUUGUGUGUGAGAUCAAUUAGCUUUUCAACAGAGUCAUUCCUCUGAUUAUUUGGUCCUGUUUUUAAUUAUACAGUGAUGCUGCAGGCUGUGCAAAACCACAGAAAAGCUCACCCUGGAUGAAGAUGACUUAAGGUUUACUGUGCUUGAUGUAGUUGUGGUAGGAGGUGUCACGCAUUGCUUCUCUUUUGUCCCCCACCUCCAGGAUUACCAGCCCUCCAGGCCUGUUGUAAUUAUCCAGUUUUUAAAUGGAAUUGUUAAUCAAGUCAGUGUUUAUCAAAGAAGCCCUGAUCAUCAAUUUAAAGAAUGAAGCAUUGCCCACCUGAAGCUUCCUGGCACACAACCAUGGCAUUCUCUACGCUUGACAGUAAGGUGUUUCUUAAUUAACAGAGGCCCACUUCAUAAGACACCCUAUGCCAUUAAUGCCACAUCACAGCCCUGAUGGUAGGUAUUCAUUAAAAAACACUCAGUGACAAAGCAUCGGCAAAGGCUCUUAUCUGAAGAUAUCACUCAGGGAGUCGAUUUCUGUGUCUCCAGCAAGGUUUUCAAAUAUGUUUCAAUUUUUGAUCAAAUUGUUCAAAUUAUACACUGUAUUUGGGUCAUUCUAAAUGUGUGGUACAAAUUCCAAAGCUAGUAAAGUGUGAAUUGUU